rnacentral:rRNA from 1 species
GUGUCAGCCGCCGCGGUAAUACGGAGGGUGCAAGCGUUAUCCGGAUUCACUGGGUUUAAAGGGUGCGUAGGAGGGCAGGGAAGUCAGUGGUGAAAUCUCCGGGCUUAACUCGGAAACUGCCGUUGAUACUCUCUGUCUUGAAUCCCGUGGAGGUGAGCGGAAUAUGUCAUGUAGCGGUGAAAUGCUUAGAUAUGACAUAGAACACCAAUUGCGAAGGCAGCUCGCUACACGAAGAUUGACUCUGAGGCACGAAAGCGUGGGGAUCAAACAGGAUUAGAUACCCCGGUAGUCC